rnacentral:lncRNA from 1 species
GGUGCUUGCUGACAUAGGGCUGAUGCAGUAGGAUCACCUCCCGUGCUGUGAAGUGUAUCACUGGCAGCACAUAGGUGGCUCUCGUAUACCUCGUUGCGUAGUACCCGUGCUCCUCGGGAGUGAGGUUGCUCAGUUACGUGAGGAGAAAGACUUCUUAAAGGUUUUAUUUUUUCCAAGGGGAGACAUGGGGUGCGUGUAGCUCGUCUCAGGAGGAGGACAUCUGCAGAGAAGUCAAGGACCUGGAAGCAGAAUGAAGCCCUAGUGCACCUCUCACUUUGUGAUCGUGUUCCCAAGCAGCACGGACCAUCUUAUCGGCCUCUGGAAAGAAGACAAGGAGAACCCAGCUUUAAGGACAGAGAUUGAACUCUGAUGCCAACCACUCUCAUGGCUGAGGCCUAUUUUCCAUUGAUUUUGGAGCUGAAGAGACAUCUCUUACUGUGCAAGGACAGGCUAUGCUCAGGAUGGAUUAGGAGCUCUAUCUAAAAAAACAGUGUUGGUUUUUCCUGGAGAGAUUGGCUCCUAUAAAGGGCAAAAGCCAUUUGAUCUUACACAGAAGUUUAUGGUCUCCCUUCCAUCUCAAAGUCCUCCUCAUUAUCAAGGCAGGAGAAUGUUUUGCAGGUACUCAGAGAAUGGAAGGGCCAGUUAGGAGGCUGAGCAAAGCCACUACUACAGGUAGCAAGGAACUGUAUCUCAUUCCCAGUGACAUUGCUGCGGAGAUGCACAAGAGGAACACCAAAUUCCAAACUUGCAGCAGUAAUGACCUUCAGUAA